GACGAACGCUGGCGGCGUGCUUAACACAUGCAAGUCGAACGGAAAGGCCCUGCUUUUGUGGGGUGCUCGAGUGGCGAACGGGUGAGUAACACGUGAGUAACCUGCCCUUGACUUUGGGAUAACUUCAGGAAACUGGGGCUAAUACCGGAUAGGAGCUCCUGCUGCAUGGUGGGGGUUGGAAAGUUUCGGCGGUUGGGGAUGGACUCGCGGCUUAUCAGCUUGUUGGUGGGGUAGUGGCUUACCAAGGCUUUGACGGGUAGCCGGCCUGAGAGGGUGACCGGCCACAUUGGGACUGAGAUACGGCCCAGACUCCUACGGGAGGCAGCAGUGGGGAAUAUUGCACAAUGGGCGGAAGCCUGAUGCAGCAACGCCGCGUGGGGGAUGACGGCCUUCGGGUUGUAAACCGCUUUCGCCUGUGACGAAGCGUGAGUGACUGUAAUGGGUAAAGAAGCACCGGCUAACUACGU
rnacentral:rRNA from 1 species